rnacentral:lncRNA from 1 species
CUGGACAUUGCGAGAGAUGAGUUUCAACACGGGUUGAAUAUGGCAGGUGUCAGUAAACGUCGGCAAAAAAGCUCAUUACAGUAAAUUGUUGCCAGCAGCACAGUUACAGUCACCAACACUCUGGAUAACAUGAAAACAGCCUAACCAGCUCUGCUAGGGUGAGUAAAAUGGUCAGAGUCUGGGUAAGGGCUAAAGCUUAAGAUGUUUCUUAUGGCAUUGCACACGGUCAGUUUGAACAGGGGUGACUUGACACAACGGGCCAAGCAAGCUGUAAAUACAAAACGGAAAGGACACAGGACGUCUUAUUUAAUGAAAUGGGUUGCAGGCUGCAGUAAAGCUUUAAUCCAUGUAACAUUAACGUGUACGGCAUCUGUAGGACACACCUGACUCCUCCAACAGUCAUACAAGGAGAAUGGUCUAAUGCCUCCCAUCAAAAAGAGAGUUGGCCCACGCAAGCACAGGUUACACAUGAAGAAAUGAGGAUUUGCAGCGAGUGGUGAACUUCAUCAACAACAACGCAGAGGAUAAUGCAAUAGUAUUACCAGGACGCCACCCAGGACACAAACACUUUGGUGGAAAGCUGCUGCCAUCCCAUAUGACAAAAGCAGCAGUGUGGCGUCUCUACAAGGAAUCGAUGACAACACUUGAAGCUGUUAAAGUCAGCCAAGCUGAAGAAGCAAGAGCAGCAUCUCCAGCUUGUUCAGUGAGCGGUCUGUCUACCAGAAGAUGGUUGCUGACUGCAAGACCACCUGUCAAGACCUGCAGUUGUCUCUGGGGGCCGUACUGAACCAGCAAGCAAAGACAUCAGGAUGCAUUACAGCUUUGAUUUUGCCCAACAAGUGCGCUAUCCUUCUGACCCUAUGCAGCCAGGUCCCAUCUACUUAUUAACUCCUCGCAAGUGUCGCUUGUUUGGUGUCUGAUGUGAAGGAAUACCACAACAAGUCA